AAUCAGAUAAUUUGAUGAAUGUUGGAUAGGAACUGUUGUCAAUCAUUAUAUUCUGAGUGAGCUGAGUAAUGUUAUCAUCAUUUAA